rnacentral:rRNA from 1 species
AUUGAACGCUGGCGGCAGGCUUAACACAUGCAAGUCGAGCGGAGACUUCGGUCUUAGCGGCGAACGGGUGAGUAAUACCUAGGAAUCUGCCCAUUAGCGGGUGACAAUGUUUCGAAAGGAACGCUAAUACCGCAUACGCCCUACGGGGGAAGGCAGGGGAUCUUUUGUACCUUGCACUAAUGGAUGAGCCUAGGCCGGAUUAGCUAGUUGGUAGGGUAAAGGCCUACCAAGGCGACGAUCUGUAGCUGGUCUGAGAGGAUGACCAGCCACACUGGAACUGAGACACGGUCCAGACUCCUACGGGAGGCAGCAGUGGGGAAUAUUGGACAAUGGGCGCAAGCCUGAUCCAGCCAUGCCGCGUGUGUGAAGAAGGCCUCGGUUGUAA